AUUCAUAAUAACUUAACGGAAUCGCAUGGCCUUGUUCGCGGCGAUGGUUCAUUCAAAUUUCUGCCCUAUCAACUUUCAAUCGUAGAGUCUUGGUCUACGAUGGUUUCAACGGGUAACGGGGAAUUAGGGUUCUAUUCCGGAGAGGGAGCCUGAGAAACGGUACCACAUCCAAGGAAGGCAGCAGGCGCGCAAAUUACCCAAUCCCGACACGGGGAGGUAGUGACAAUAAAUACUGAUACAGGGCUCUUUUGGGUCUUGUAAUUGGAAUGAGUACAAUUUAAAUCCCUUAACGAGGAACAAUUGGAGGGCAAGUCUGGUGCCAGCAGCCGCGGUAAUUCCAGCUCCAAUAGCGUAUAUUAAAGUUGUUGCAGUUAAAAAGCUCGUAGUUGAACCUUGGGCCUGGUUGGUCGGUCCGCCUCACCGGUGGCACUGAUCCGACCGGGCCUUUCCUUCUGGGGAGCCGAUGCCUUCACUGGGUGUGUCGGGGAACCAGGACUUUACUUUGAAAAAAUUAGAGUGUCCAAAGCAGGCCUAUGCUCGAAUACAUUAGCAUGGAAUAAUAGAAUAGGACGUGUGGUUCUAAUAAGAAGGUUCUAGGACCGGCGUAAUGAUUAAUAGGGAUAGUCGGGGGGCAUCAGUAUUCAAUUGUCAGGGGUUG
rnacentral:rRNA from 1 species